rnacentral:rRNA from 1 species
GACAGAGGGUGCAAACGUUGUUCGGAAUUACUGGGCGUAAAGCGUGUGUAGGCGGUCCACUAAGUCGGGUGUGAAAGCCCUGGGCUCAACCCAGGAAGUGCACUCGAAACUGGCGGGCUAGAGUAUCGGAGAGGUUGGUGGAAUUCUCGGUGUAGAGGUGAAAUUCGUAGAUAUCGGAAGGAACACCAGUGGCGAAGGCGGCUUCCUGGACUAAUACUGACACUGAGGUGCGAAAGCGUGGGGAGCAAACAGG